GCCCUAAUAGUUUAAUUAACAAAACUUUGGUCUUGUAAACCAAAAAUGAAAGUUUCUUUCUUAAGGCU
rnacentral:tRNA from 1 species